rnacentral:rRNA from 1 species
AACGAUGAAUACUAGAUUUUUGCGAUAUAGUGUAAGAGUCUAAGCGAAAGCGAUAAGUAUUCCACCUGGGGAGUACGCCGGCAACGGUGAAACUCAAAGGAAUUGACGGGGGCCCGCACAAGCGGAGGAACAUGUGGUUUAAUUCGAUGAUACGCGAGGAACCUUACCCGGGAUUGAAAUUUAGAUGGCGGCAGAUGAGAGUUUGCUUUCCUUCGGGACAUCUAAGUAGGUGCUGCAUGGCUGUCGUCAG